UUGUUGCGGUGUUAGACUGUCACAAUUCUAAUGUUUUGUUUUUGUUUACAUAGUUUCCUUUAAUGGAACAGUCACUGUGGAAAAAGUAUUUAGUGAAACUAAUACUAUCAAACAACAGCUCACAGAGGGUUUUCAACAAUUAAAUGGGUUUGAGGGCCUUAAUGUAUCUGGACCUAGGGGUGAUGGCCACAUUGUUGAUUUCGAAGUGGAUCUCAGUGUCAUAUUUCUGACUAAAAAACUUACAAUAAUAACAGCUGACCUGGAAGCUACUGUAGGCUCCUCUGCCAAAAUAUCUGUUGAAACAUCAGGUAAAUGUACAGUCCUUUCACAUAGUGAUAUUAAGACCACGAGGAGAUCUGCCACAUUAGGCU
rnacentral:lncRNA from 1 species